rnacentral:rRNA from 1 species
AUUGAACGCUGGCGGCAGGCCUAACACAUGCAAGUCGAGCGGAUGAAGGGAGCUUGCUCCUGGAUUCAGCGGCGGACGGGUGAGUAAUGCCUAGGAAUCUGCCUGGUAGUGGGGGAUAACGUCCGGAAACGGGCGCUGAUACCGCAUACGUCCUGAGGGAGAAAGUGGGGGAUCUUCGGACCUCACGCUAUCAGAUGAGCCUAGGUCGGAUUAGCUAGUUGGUGGGGUAAAGGCCUACCAAGGCGACGAUCCGUAACUGGCCUGAGAGGAUGAUCAGUCACACUGGAACUGAGACACGGUCCAGACUCCUACGGGAGGCAGCAGUGGGGAAUAUUGGACAAUGGGCGAAAGCCUGAUCCAGCCAUGCCGCGUGUGUGAAGAAGGUCUUCGGAUUGUAAAGCACUUUAAGUUGGGAGGAAGGGCAGUAAGUUAAUACCUUGCUGUUUUGACGUUACCAACAGAAUAAGCACCGGCUAACUUCGUG